UGGGGGAUAUUGCACAAUGGGCGAAAGCCUGAUGCAGCGACGCCGCGUGGGGGAUGAAGGCCUUCGGGUUGUAAACUUCUUUUGCUCUGAACAAGGCAUGCUAAUGGGUGUGUUGAGUGUAGGGGUUGAUUAGCGCCGGCUAACUACUUGCCAGCAGCCGCGGUAAUACGUAGGGCGCGAGCGUUGUCCGGAAUUAUUGGGCGUAAAGGGCUUGUAGGUGGCUGGUUGCGUCUGUCGUGAAAGCUCAUGGCUUAACUGUGGGUUUGCGGUGGGUACGGGCUGGCUUGCAUGCACUAGGGGAGGCUGGAAUUCCUGGUGUAGCGGUGGAAUGCGCAGAUAUCAGGGGGAAUACAGGUGGCGAAGGCGGGUCUCUGGGCUGUUACUGACACUGAGGAGCGAAAGCAUGGGGAGCGAACAGG
rnacentral:rRNA from 1 species